UUCCAAUUAUUGGUAGGGUAUUUUUUGGAGAUUUGAACUACAUCGUGGGGGCCAAAAAUUAAUCGUUCCUAUACUGCUUUCGAGGCAUUUGAAUGCUGUGAUUGCAACUGGAGCACUUGUUAUUCCAGCAUCAAUUUACUUUCUACUCAAGACAUUCAUUGUAAAACCUUAUUACCUUAAAUGGGAAAAGCAUGAAGUGUUGGAUAAUAUGAAGAAGACUGCAGCUCAGGUUAGGGAGGCAAGGGCAGCAGCUGAGAAAGCUCAGCAGUUGUUACAAAAUGUGGCCAAUAGGAAAAAGAACAAGCAACUAGAAACUGGUGGACUGGUAAUUGCAAAAGCAGUUUAUGGAAGUCAAAACGCUUUGAAGAAAAAAGAUGAAGUGGGAGAAACAAAAGAUGAAUUAGCUUCACAAGUCAUAGAUGUCACUUUACCUCUAAAUUUCCUGGUCAAUGAUUCGGGCAACUUAAGCUCCAUGAGGGUGUGAAGAAGUCAGGUAUUAUGGGCUUCUGUGAUCCUUGUCCUGGAGAACCUAAGCAGUUGCAUCUGGAAUACACUUGUCAUGGAGAGAUAUAUGAUGUGGUGGUUGAUGAUUAUGAAGAAUUGUUAAUACCCCAGGCAGCACACAAAAUCUGAAUUCCAUACAAGAUUCUGAACAUAAAACUUUGCUUGCCUCGUUCAAUUUUGCAUGUUUCACCAUGCCUCUUGAGGUGCAGUCUUAAUCAGUGACGGAGGGAAGAUUACUGGAGCUUUCAAAAUGUUUAGGCUGUGUUCAGAAGGUUCUGAAUUUGAACUAUUUGAAUGCAUUCUUUUGAUUCAGAACUUUAAAGAUGGCCGGGGACUAAUGUAACCUCUUUGCCCAACAAAGCCCUGUGCACAUUAACUUGAUCAAGUAUAGGAAAGAUUGGAUUUCAGAUAGGAGCAAAGGAUUAUAUAUAGGUGAAGAACACACAUGGCAAUCCCAAAAAAGAAAUAAGGAUAGCAGUAUUAUGGGAUUAUGGGUUGAAUUGUUUGUUGCUGGAAUUGAUAUAUUCACAUUGAUAUUCAAUUGUCCAUAGAUUUCAUCAAUCAUGCUUUUACAUGAUGCUUUAUUGGAAUAAUGGGCAGUUAUUUUUAUUGUUUGACAGAGUAAGUGUAUAUCUAGACCUCAAAAGCACCCAUGGAAGCAUUUUUUACCAUGCAAAAGAUGUGGUAACUUGUUAGGUGGCUUCUGUCAAUAGUUAAGCCUUCUAAUGCCCCCUGUUUGGU